rnacentral:rRNA from 2 species
GCAGUCGAGCGAACUGAUUAGAAGCUUGCUUCUAUGACGUUAGCGGCGGACGGGUGAGUAACACGUGGGCAACCUGCCUGUAAGACUGGGAUAACUUCGGGAAACCGAAGCUAAUACCGGAUAGGAUCUUCUCCUUCAUGGGAGAUGAUUGAAAGAUGGUUUCGGCUAUCACUUACAGAUGGGCCCGCGGUGCAUUAGCUAGUUGGUGAGGUAACGGCUCACCAAGGCAACGAUGCAUAGCCGACCUGAGAGGGUGAUCGGCCACACUGGGACUGAGACACGGCCCAGACUCCUACGGGAGGCAGCAGUAGGGAAUCUUCCGCAAUGGACGAAAGUCUGACGGAGCAACGCCGCGUGAGUGAUGAAGGCUUUCGGGUCGUAAAACUCUGUUGUUAGGGAAGAACAAGUACGAGAGUAACUGCUCGUACCUUGACGGUACCUAACCAGAAAGCCACGGCUAACUACGUGCCAGCAGCCGCGGUAAUACGUAGGUGGCAAGCGUUAUCCGGAAUUAUUGGGCGUAAAGCGCGCGCAGGCGGUUUCUUAAGUCUGAUGUGAAAGCCCACGGCUCAACCGUGGAGGGUCAUUGGAAACUGGGGAACUUGAGUGCAGAAGAGAAAAGCGGAAUUCCACGUGUAGCGGUGAAAUGCGUAGAGAUGUGGAGGAACACCAGUGGCGAAGGCGGCUUUUUGGUCUGUAACUGACGCUGAGGC